UCUGCAGUCGAGCGGAAGAAGGGGGCUUGCUCCCGGAUGUUAGCGGCGGACGGGUGAGUAACACGUGGGUAACCUGCCUGUAAGACUGGGAUAACUCCGGGAAACCGGAGCUAAUACCGGAUAGUUCCUUGAACCGCAUGGUUCAAGGAUGAAAGACGGUUUCGGCUGUCACUUACAGAUGGACCCGCGGCGCAUUAGCUAGUUGGUGAGGUAACGGCUCACCAAGGCGACGAUGCGUAGCCGACCUGAGAGGGUGAUCGGCCACACUGGGACUGAGACACGGCCCAGACUCCUACGGGAGGCAGCAGUAGGGAAUCUUCCGCAAUGGACGAAAGUCUGACGGAGCAACGCCGCGUGAGUGAUGAAGGUUUUCGGAUCGUAAAGCUCUGUUGUUAGGGAAGAACAAGUGCAAGAGUAACUGCUUGCACCUUGACGGUACCUAACCAGAAAGCCACGGCUAACUACGUGCCAGCAGCCGCGGUAAUACGUAGGUGGCAAGCGUUGUCCGGAAUUAUUGGGCGUAAAGGGCUCGCAGGCGGUUUCUUAAGUCUGAUGUGAAAGCCCCCGGCUCAACCGGGGAGGGUCAUUGGAAACUGGGAAACUUGAGUGCAGAANAGGAGAGUGGAAUUCCACGUGUAGCGGUGAAAUGCGUAAAGAUGUGGAGGAACACCAGUGGCGAAGGCGACUCUCUGGUCUGUAACUGACGCUGAGGAGCGAAAGCGUGGGGAGCGAACAGGAUUAAAUACCCUGGUAGUCCCCGCCGUAAACGAUGAGUGCUAAGUGUUAGGGGGUUUCCCCCCCUUUAGUGCUGCAGCUAACGCAUUAAGCACUCCCCCUGGGGAGUACGGUC
rnacentral:rRNA from 1 species